UGGCCAAGUGUGUUGACACACACAAGGAAUUUCUUUCCAGCAGUUUGUGACUCUCAAAGAGGAAAAUAUUUUGCAGAAGACUAAAUAUACUGAAUCAUGCAAAAAAAAAAAAAAAAAGGAAAGCCAAUACUCAUAUCCUCUUCAGGUGAUCUGCUACCGUCCACCAGGUCCGUUUAACAGAGUCUCGUUUCAUCACCAUAUAGUGAAGACGGUCAUCUCGUUUCUCAUCAGGAGAUGGAGUCCAG